rnacentral:rRNA from 1 species
UUUUCCUGUGAGGGUGACUGCGGAGGGAUCAUUA